GACAGAGGUGCCGAGCGUUAGGCGGAAUCACUGGGCUUAAAGCGUGUGUAGGCGGGCGGGCAAGUACCUUGUGAAAUCCCACGGCUCAACCGUGGAACGGCUGGGUAUACUGCCUGUCUUGAGCCAACUAGGGGCGAGCGGAACAGACGGUGGAGCGGUGAAAUGCGUAGAUAUCGUCAGGAACGCCAAUGGUGAAGACAGGUGACUGGGCUAGAUCUGACACUGAGGCACGAAAGCGUGGGGAUCAAACGGG
rnacentral:rRNA from 1 species